GAUGAAGAACGCAGCGAAAUGCGAUAAGUAAUGUGAAUUGCAGAAUUCAGUGAAUCAUCGAAUCUUUGAACGCACAUUGCGCCCGCCAGUAUUCUGGCGGGCAUGCCUGUCUGAGCGUCAUUUCAACCCUCAUGCCCCUAGGGCGUGGUGUUGGGGAUCGGCCAAAGCCCGCGAGGGACGGCCGGCCCCUAAAUCUAGUGGCGGACCCGUCGUGGCCUCCUCUGCGAAGUAGUGAUAUUCCGCAUCGGAGAGCGAUGAGCCCCUGCCGUUAAACCCCCAACUUUCCAAGGUUGACCUCAGAUCAGGUAGGAAUACCCGCUGAACUUGAGCAUAUCAAUAAGCGGAGGA
rnacentral:misc_RNA from 1 species